CUUUGGUUCAGAAGAACCCAGAUAGUGAGGACUUUCCCAUUACCUGGAGAUGGAGUUUGGGUGUGACUCCUCAUCUCCAUCAUAUCUCAGGGAGAGACCUUUUGAACCUAAUCUCUAAGGAACUAGGCCAGAUGGCUCACCGGUCUCCGUGUCUUAUUCUGUCGGUCCCAGCGGUUCAACAUGGUAUUUAAGAGAGAGAGAGUCACUAGAUAGUGGUUCGACCCCGAUAGUCCGCUGGUCCCUCAUUAUCCUCCUCCGGCUAUGCAUGAUCCGGAUGCUUUGCCUGGGAAUGAGUUCCAGGCGGCCUUAGGUGGCAUGACCGUGGAUCACUUCACUGAUCUGGCGGGGAGUUACUAGGAGUUUCUCCAGCAGAAGACCGUGUGCGUGCCACUGACAUUGGAUGGUCCUCGGGAACUGUACGUUGCUGACCUCGAGGCACGGCUAUUCCACUUAGAUUUUAGGUUCAGAGGUAGAGGUACUAGCACUGGGAACUGCGAUGGAGCUCCCGAUCCUGGUUAUGGAGGUGCUGGCGCGAGUCACAGAGGAGGAUCUGGCUUUGGAUUUGAUGGAUCUAACUUCGCGGGUGGAGAGACUGAAGCGGGCCCCAUCAUUUCUUUGGAGGAGAUGAAUCUCCUUUUAUAGGAAGAUCUUCAAGAUGCACAGGGUGGCCAAGGGGGCCAUAAUGGGCAGCCACAAGACUGGCUCAUGUUUAUGCAUGUAAACUCUUUUCAUUAUUUUUCCUUUUUUGUUUUAUUUUAUUGAUGAAACAAUGGUAAUAUGA